rnacentral:lncRNA from 1 species
AGUGGGGUCAGAAUUGCUGUUUUAGGAAAGCAACCGGAAGCCAGACGCAGUGGCCCACUCCCAUCGGCCCAGUUACUCCAGAGGCUCAGGAGGGAGGAUCACUUGAGUCCAGGAGUUCAAGACCAGCCCAGGCAAGAGAGGGAGACCCAGUCUCAAACAAAGUGAUAAACAAAAGCAACUGGAACCCAGUAAUUUAAAAAGAAAUCUAGGGACUGAGAGUGCAGUUCAGUGGUAGAGCAUUUACCUAGCAUGUGGGAUGCCUUGGAUUUGAGCCCCAGCAUCACAUUAAAAAAAAAAAUCUAUUGAACUUUUAAGAAUUGUGACUAUUUAGAAAAGCUCUUAAAAGAGUGCAGAAGGGAGAAGAGUGGCAACAAUACCUGUUUGCAAUAAGGCCUGUGGCUGUCCAUUUGCAAGCCCUGGUUAAUUUCUUUCCCCUAGUGCAGUUCAGGAGUGUUAGUGAACUCCCCAAGAUGUCUGCACCACUGUAUCUAUGCAGUUAAUAUUUUUUUUUGGCCAUAGUUUUAUAGCUUCUCAGAAGUGUGCUGAGGGCUCGGGAUAUAGCUCAGUUGAUAGAGUGCUUGCCUCACAUGCACAAGGCCCUGGGUUCAAGCCCCAGCACCACAAAGGAAAAAAGAGAGAGAGAGAGAGAGAGAGAGAGAGAGAGAGAGAGAGAGAGAGAGAGAUGUGCUGAGAUCAGGGAAGGUGAGGCUUGGGAAUAUUUUAGAAUUGAUUUAAACUCUUGGAUCUGCCCAACUCUAUCCCAUGCAUAGGGACAGCAAAUAUCUAGUAAAAUAUGGAUAAAUAAAAUGGUUGAGCCAGGCCCAGUGGCACAACCUAGAAUUCCGGGUACUCAGGAAAUUGAGGCAGGAGGAUCUCAAGUUCAAGGUCAACUAGACCCUGUCUCAAUGUGAAAAAAAAAAAGGCUGGGCUGUAGUUCAGUGGUAGAAAGCCCCUGGGUUCAAUCCUCAGUACAAGCCCAUACACACACACACACACACACACUCAUACACGUGCAUGUGCACACACAUGUGGCAGGGCUGGGGAUGGAUAGAUGGAAAAGGUUUACAGGCAUUGGCACCCAAGAGUAGUCCAGGAAAGGCUGGCCUCUAGUGCCCAUCAUGCACCCACUGACUACAUGCUUGACCACAACUCUGGGAAAUGUGGAGAGGAAGGCAGCAGAGACCCAGGGCUGCCAAGAUGGGAAAUGGAAACACUCAGAACCUGUUUUCAACUUCUGGGACCACUCCUCCCAAGAACUGAGCAUGGAAAGAGUGGACAGGACUGCUUAUGUGUAAACUGAAAGUUCUGUAACUUACUGCACAUUAAAUCCAACUGAGGCCUAUGCCUAGUUAAUAGGAAUGGGUGGGGCUUGUUGAUGUCAGGGCUUUUGUUUGUUUUCUUCAGUGUUGGCGAUGGAACCCAGGGCCUUGCACAUACAGGCAAGUGUUCUAUCACAGAGUUACACACUCCCAAGGAUGACGUCAGUUUUUUGCUUUUUCUGGUGUUGGGGAUUGAACUCAGGGUACUCUACCACUGAACUACAAUCCCAACACUCCUUUCAUUUCUAAGUUUUUUAAAAAUUUGAGAUGGUGUCUUGCUAAAUUGCCCAGCCUGGGGGCUGGGGAUAUGGCUCAAGUAGUAGCGCGCUCGCCUGGCAUGCGUGAGGCACUGGUUUGAUCCUCAGCACCACAUAAAAAUAAAAUAAAGAUACUGUGUCCACCUAAAGCUAAAAAAUAAAUAUUAAAAAAAUCGCCCAGUCUGGCAAUUGUGAUCCUCCUGCCUCAGCCUAUUGAAUCUCUAGGAUUACAGGCAUGUGUAACUGCAGCCAGGUGACAUCAGAAAUUCUUAAAGCUCUCAAUAUUAUUUCUAGGUGCAACUCUGUUUGAGAACUAUAAUGCAGAUAUAGAUCAGUAGUUCUCAAAGUGUGGCGUCUGGUCCAGCUGGAUCAUUGAUGCUUAAAUGAUGUGUUAGAAAUGCACAUUCCAUUCACUCAGUGAUCAAGUGCUUACCUAGCAUGUGCAGGGCUCUGGGUUCCAUCCCCAGCACCAGAAAACUAAAAAAGAAUGCACAUCCUUGGGUCCCAGCCAGACGUAGUGAUGAAACAUUCCACACGGCUUUGAUGCAUGCUAAACUUUGAGGAUCAUGAGUGUAGACAGUUCCUGAGCAACAGGACCCAGAAAAUCAAGCUUGUUUCCUUCCUCUCCCAGUACUGCUGCCACCCAGCAGAAACCUUUAGUUUGUAAGUAUAUUGUGAAUUUGGCUUGGAGAUGGUCUACAGCUGAUCGUGGCUUGUCUGCAUUGAGAUGUGCUGUGUUAAAUACACAUCAGAUUUCAAAGACUUAGCACCCACACCCAGAAGGAAACAUUAAUUUUCCUACAUGGAUUACAUGUCGAGAUGCUAUUUUUUAAAGGUUUUUAAAAUAGCUUCAUUUAUUUAUUUUUAAUAUGGUGCUGAGGAUCGAACCCAGUGCCUCACACAUGCUAGGCGUGCGCUCUACCCCUGAGCCACAACCCCAGCCCAAGAGAUGCUAUUUUUGAUACAU